GAUGAACGCUGGCGGCGUGCCUAAUACAUGCAAGUCGAGCGAACAGACGAGGAGCUUGCUCCUCUGACGUUAGCGGCGGACGGGUGAGUAACACGUGGAUAACCUACCUAUAAGACUGGGAUAACUUCGGGAAACCGGAGCUAAUACCGGAUAAUAUAUUGAACCGCAUGGUUCAAUAGUUAAAGACGGUUUUGCUGUCACUUAUAGAUGGAUCCGCGCCGCAUUAGCUAGUUGGUAAGGUAACGGCUUACCAAGGCAACGAUGCGUAGCCGACCUGAGAGGGUGAUCGGCCACACUGGAACUGAGACACGGUCCAGACUCCUACGGGAGGCAGCAGUAGGGAAUCUUCCGCAAUGGGCGAAAGCCUGACGGAGCAACGCCGCGUGAGUGAUGAAGGUCUUCGGAUCGUAAAACUCUGUUAUUAGGGAAGAACAAAUGUGUAAGUAAUUAUGCACGUCUUGACGGUACCUAAUCAGAAAGCCACGGCUAACUACGUG
rnacentral:rRNA from 1 species